rnacentral:rRNA from 1 species
UACGGAGGGUGCGAGCGUUGUCCGGAAUCAUUGGGCGUAAAGGGCGCGUAGGUGGCGGGACAAGCGUGCGGUGAAAGCUCGGGGCUCAACCCCGCGUCGGCCGUGCGAACUGUUUUGCUUGAGCACUGUAGAGGCAGGCGGAAUUCCGGGGUGUAGCGGUGGAAUGCGUAGAGAUCCGGAAGAACACCGGUGGCGAAGGCGGCCUGCUGGGCAGUAGCUGACACUGAGGCGCGACACGUGGGGGGAGCAAAACAGGGAUUAGAAAACCCUAGUAU